rnacentral:rRNA from 1 species
CCUACGGGAGGCAGCAGUGGGGGAUAUUGCACAAUGGGGGAAACCCUGAUGCAGCAACGCCGCGUGAGUGAAGAAGUAUUUCGGUAUGUAAAGCUCUAUCAGCAGGGAAGAGAAUGACGGUACCUGACUAAGAAGCCCCGGCUAACUACGUGCCAGCAGCCGCGGUAAUACGUAGGGGGCGAGCGUUAUCCGGAUUUAUUGGGUUUAAAGGGUGCGUAGGCGGAUUUUUAAGUCAGCGGUAAAAUGUCCGGGCUCAACCCGGGCCGGCCGUUGAAACUGGGGAUCUUGAGUGGGCGAGAAGUAUG